AUUGAACGCUGGCGGCAGGCCUAACACAUGCAAGUCGAACGAGUGGCGGACGGGUGCGUAAUAUAUGGGAAACUGCCUGAUGGAGGGGGAUAACUACUGGAAACGGUAGCUAAUACCGCAUACCAUCAGAUGACCACAUAUGGGAUUCGCUUGUAGGUGGGGUAACGGCUAACCUAGGCGACGAUCCCUAGCUGGUCUGAGAGGAUGAACAGCCAAACUGGAACUGAGACACGGCCCAGACUCCGACGGGAGGCAGCAGUGGGGAAUAUUGCACAAUGGGCGCAAGCCUGAUGCAGCCAUGCCGCGUGUAUGAAGAAGGCCUUCGGGUUGUAAAGUACUUUCAGUCGGGAGGCGUUACCGGCAGAAGAAGCACCGGCUAACUCCGUGCCAGCAGCCGCGGUAAUAC
rnacentral:rRNA from 1 species